GACGAACGCUGGCGGCGUGCUUAACACAUGCAAGUCGUACGGUAAGGCCCUUUCGGGGGUACACGAGUGGCGAACGGGUGAGUAACACGUGAGUAACCUGCCCACAACUUUGGGAUAACGCUAGGAAACUGGUGCUAAUACUGGAUAUGUGCUCCUGCUGCAUGGUGGGGGUUGGAAAGCUCCGGCGGUUGUGGAUGGACUCGCGGCCUAUCAGCUUGUUGGUGGGGUAGUGGCCUACCAAGGCGGCGACGGGUAGCCGGCCUGAGAGGGUGACCGGCCACAUUGGGACUGAGAUACGGCCCAGACUCCUACGGGAGGCAGAAGGGGGGAAUAUUGCACAAUGGGCGCAAGCCUGAUGCAGCAACGCCGCGUGCGGGAUGACGGCCUUCGGGUUGUAAACCGCUUUCAGCAGGGACGAAGCUUUUUGUGACGGUACCUGCAGAAGAAGCACCGGCUAACUACGUG
rnacentral:rRNA from 1 species